rnacentral:rRNA from 1 species
AUUGAACGCUGGCGGCAUGCCUUACACAUGCAAGUCGAACGGCAGCAUGAUCUAUCUUGCUAGAUUGAUGGCGGGUGGCGCACGGGUGAGUAAUACAUCGGAACGUGCUCUGUUGUGGGGGAUAACUAGUCGAAAGAUUAGCUAAUACCGCAUACGACCUGAGGGUGAAAGUGGGUGACCGCAACGCCUCAUGCUAUAGAAUCGGCCGAUGUCUGAUUAGCUAGUUGGUGAGGUAAAGGCUCACCCAGGCGACGAUCAGUAGCUGGUCUGAGAGGACGAUCAGCCACACUGGGACUGAGACACGGCCCAGACUCCUACGGGAGGCAGCGGUGGGGAAUUUUGGACAAUGGGCGAAAGCCUGAUCCAGCCCUGCCGCGUGUGUGAAGAAGGCCUUCGGGUUGUAAAGCACUUUUGUCCGGAAAGAAAUGGCUCUGGUUAAUACCUGGGGUCGAUGACGGUACCGGAAGAAUAAGGACCGGCUAACUACGUG